UACGUAGGGGGCGAGCGUUGUCCGGAUUUAUUGGGCGUAAAGAGCUCGUAGGCGGUUUGGUAAGUCGGGUGUGAAAUCUCCACGCUCAACGUGGAGGGGCCACUCGAUACUGCCAUGACUCGAGUCCGGUAGAGGAGUGUGGAAUUCCCGGUGUAGCGGUGAAAUGCGCAGAUAUCGGGAGGAACACCCGUAGCGAAGGCGGCCAACUGGGCCGGACCUGACGCUGAGGCGCGAAGGCGUGGGGAGCGAACGGG
rnacentral:rRNA from 1 species